UCCCUGGUGGCUCAGAGGUUAAAGUAUCUGCCCGGAAUGCAGGAGACCCGGGUUUGAUCCCUGGGUCGGGAA
rfam:Ovis aries breed Texel chromosome 6, whole genome shotgun sequence.